rnacentral:rRNA from 1 species
ACGCUCGACACCUACAGGAGGCAGCAGUGGGGAAUAUUGCACAAUGGGGGAAACCCUGAUGCAGCGACGCCGCGUGGAGGAAGAAGGUCUUCGGAUUGUAAACUCCUGUCCCAGGGGACGAUAAUGACGGUACCCUGGGAGGAAGCACCGGCUAACUACGUGCCUGCAGCCGCGGUAAUCUGAGCGGGCUGGCAAGGC